UAGGGAAUCUUCGGCAAUGGACGAAAGUCUGACCGAGCAACGCCGCGUGAGUGAAGAAGGUUUUCGGAUCGUAAAACUCUGUUGUUAGAGAAGAACAAGGACGUUAGUAACUGAACGUCCCCUGACGGUAUCUAACCAGAAAGCCGCGGCUAACUACGUGCCAGCAGCCGCGGUAAUACGUAGGUGGCAAGCGUUGUCCGGAUUUAUUGGGCGUAAAGCGAGCGCAGGCGGUUUCUUAAGUCUGAUGUGAAAGCCCCCGGCUCAACCGGGGAGGGUCAUUGGAAACUGGGAGACUUGAGUGCAGAAGAGGAGAGUGGAAUUCCAUGUGUAGCGGUGAAAUGCGUAGAUAUAUGGAGGAACACCAGUGGCGAAGGCGGCUCUCUGGUCUGUAACUGACGCUGAGGCUCGAAAGCGUGGGGAGCAAACAGG
rnacentral:rRNA from 1 species